rnacentral:rRNA from 1 species
GAUGAACGCUGGCGGCGUGCCUAAUACAUGCAAGUCGAGCGAACAGACGAGGAGCUUGCUCCUCUGACGUUAGCGGCGGACGGGUGAGUAACACGUGGAUAACCUACCUAUAAGACUGGGAUAACUUCGGGAAACCGGAGCUAAUACCGGAUAAUAUAUUGAACCGCAUGGUUCAAUAGUGAAAGACGGUUUUGCUGUCACUUAUAGAUGGAUCCGCGCCGCAUUAGCUAGUUGGUAAGGUAACGGCUUACCAAGGCAACGAUGCGUAGCCGACCUGAGAGGGUGAUCGGCCACACUGGAACUGAGACACGGUCCAGACUCCUACGGGAGGCAGCAGUAGGGAAUCGUCCGCAAUGGGCGAAAGCCUGACGGAGCAACGCCGCGUGAGUGAUGAAGGUCUUCGGAUCGUAAAACUCUGUUAUUAGGGAAGAACAAAUGUGUAAGUAACUAUGCACGUCUUGACGGUACCUAAUCAGAAAGCCACGGCUAACUACGUGC